UACAGAGGUCUCAAGCGUUUGUUCGGAUUCAUUGGGCGUAAAGGGUGCGUAGGCGGCGCGGUAAGUCGGGUGUGAAUCUCGGAGCUUAACUCCGAAACUGCAUUCGAUACUGCCGUGCUUGAGGACUGGAGAGGAGACUGGAAUUUACGGUGUAGCGGUGAAAUGCGUAGAUAUCGUAAGGAAGACCAGUGGCGAAGGCGGGUCUCUGGACAGUUCCUGACGCUGAGGCACGAAGGCCAGGGGGAGCAAAACGGGG
rnacentral:rRNA from 1 species